rnacentral:rRNA from 1 species
UAAUACGUAGGGGGCUAGCGUUGUCCGGAAUCAUUGGGCGUAAAGCGCGCGUAGGCGGCCCGGUAAGUCCGCUCUGAAAGUCCAGGGCUCAACCCUGGAAAGCGGGUGGAUACUGUCGGGCUAGAGUCCGGAAGAGGCGAGUGGAAUUCCUGGUGUAGCGGUGGAAUGCGCAGAUAUCAGGAGGAACACCAACAGCGAAGGCAGCUCGCUGGGACGGUACUGACGCUGAGGCGCGAAAGCGUGGGGAGCGAACAGGAUUAGAUACCCUGGUAGUCCACGCCGUAAACGAUGGAUGCUAGCCGUUGGCAGGCUUGCCUGUCAGUGGCGCAGCUAACGCAUUAAGCAUCCCGCCUGGGGAGUACGGUCGCAAGAUUA